rnacentral:rRNA from 1 species
GGUUAAGCGACUAAGCGUACACGGUGGAUGCCCUGGCAGUCAGAGGCGAUGAAGGACGUGCUAAUCUGCGAAAAGCGUCGGUAAGGUGAUAUGAACCGUUAUAACCGGCGAUGUCCGAAUGGGGAAACCCAGUGCAAUUCGUUGCACUAUCGUUAACUGAAUACAUAGGUUAACGAGGCGAACCGGGGGAACUGAAACAUCUAAGUACCCCGAGGAAAAGAAAUCAACCGAGAUUCCCCCAGUAGCGGCGAGCGAACGGGGAGCAGCCCAGAGUCUGAAUCAGCUUGUGUGUUAGUGGAACGGUCUGGAAAGUCCGACGGUACAGGGUGAUAGUCCCGUACACCAAAAUGCACAGGUUGUGAACUCGAAGAGUAGGGCGGGACACGUGGUAUCCUGUCUGAAUAUGGGGGGACCAUCCUCCAAGGCUAAAUACUCCUGACUGACCGAUAGUGAACCAGUACCGUGAGGGAAAGGCGAAAAGAACCCCGGCGAGGGGAGUGAAAAAGAACCUGAAACCGUGUACGUACAAGCAGUGGGAGCACCUUCGGGUGUGACUGCGUACCUUUUGUAUAAUGGGUCAGCGACUUAUAUUCUGUAGCAAGGUUAACCGUAUAGGGGAGCCGCAGGGAAACCGAGUCUUAACUGGGCGUUAAGUUGCAGGGUAUAGACCCGAAACCCGGUGAUCUAGCCAUGGGCAGGUUGAAGGUUGGGUAACACUAACUGGAGGACCGAACCGACUAAUGUUGAAAAAUUAGCGGAUGACUUGUGGCUGGGGGUGAAAGGCCAAUCAAACCGGGAGAUAGCUGGUUCUCCCCGAAAGCUAUUUAGGUAGCGCCUCGUGAAUUCAUCUUCGGGGGUAGAGCACUGUUUCGGCUAGGGGGUCAUCCCGACUUACCAACCCGAUGCAAACUACGAAUACCGAAGAAUGUUAUCACGGGAGACACACGGCGGGUGCUAACGUCCGUCGUGAAGAGGGAAACAACCCAGACCGCCAGCUAAGGUCCCAAAGUCAUGGUUAAGUGGGAAACGAUGUGGGAAGGCACAGACAGCCAGGAUGUUGGCUUAGAAGCAGCCAUCAUUUAAAGAAAGCGUAAUAGCUCACUGGUCGAGUCGGCCUGCGCGGAAGAUGUAACGGGGCUAAACCAUGCACCGAAGCUGCGGCAGCGACACUAUGUGUUGUUGGGUAGGGGAGCGUUCUGUAAGCCUGCGAAGGUGACCUGUGAGGGUUGCUGGAGGUAUCAGAAGUGCGAAUGCUGACAUAAGUAACGAUAAAGCGGGUGAAAAGCCCGCUCGCCGGAAGACCAAGGGUUCCUGUCCAACGUUAAUCGGGGCAGGGUGAGUCGACCCCUAAGGCGAGGCCGAAAGGCGUAGUCGAUGGGAAACAGGUUAAUAUUCCUGUACUUGGUGUUACUGCGAAGGGGGGACGGAGAAGGCUAUGUUAGCCGGGCGACGGUUGUCCCGGUUUAAGCAUGUAGGCUGGUUAUCCAGGCAAAUCCGGAUAAUCAAGGCUGAGGUGUGAUGACGAGGCACUACGGUGCUGAAGUAACAAAUGCCCUGCUUCCAGGAAAAGCCUCUAAGCAUCAGGUAACAUUAAAUCGUACCCCAAACCGACACAGGUGGUCAGGUAGAGAAUACCAAGGCGCUUGAGAGAACUCGGGUGAAGGAACUAGGCAAAAUGGUGCCGUAACUUCGGGAGAAGGCACGCUGGUGUGUAGGUGAAGUCCCUGCGGAUGGAGCUGAGACCAGUCGAAGAUACCAGCUGGCUGCAACUGUUUAUUAAAAACACAGCACUGUGCAAACACGAAAGUGGACGUAUACGGUGUGACGCCUGCCCGGUGCCGGAAGGUUAAUUGAUGGGGUUAUCCGUAAGGAGAAGCUCUUGAUCGAAGCCCCGGUAAACGGCGGCCGUAACUAUAACGGUCCUAAGGUAGCGAAAUUCCUUGUCGGGUAAGUUCCGACCUGCACGAAUGGCGUAAUGAUGGCCAGGCUGUCUCCACCCGAGACUCAGUGAAAUUGAACUCGCUGUGAAGAUGCAGUGUACCCGCGGCAAGACGGAAAGACCCCGUGAACCUUUACUAUAGCUUGACACUGAACAUUGAGCCUUGAUGUGUAGGAUAGGUGGGAGGCUUUGAAGCGUGGACGCCAGUCUGCGUGGAGCCAACCUUGAAAUACCACCCUUUAAUGUUUGAUGUUCUAACGUUGGCCCCUUACCGGGGUUGCGGACAGUGUCUGGUGGGUAGUUUGACUGGGGCGGUCUCCUCCCAAAGCGUAACGGAGGAGCACGAAGGUUAGCUAAUCCUGGUCGGACAUCAGGAGGUUAGUGCAAUGGCAUAAGCUAGCUUGACUGCGAGCGUGACGGCGCGAGCAGGUGCGAAAGCAGGUCAUAGUGAUCCGGUGGUUCUGAAUGGAAGGGCCAUCGCUCAACGGAUAAAAGGUACUCCGGGGAUAACAGGCUGAUACCGCCCAAGAGUUCAUAUCGACGGCGGUGUUUGGCACCUCGAUGUCGGCUCAUCACAUCCUGGGGCUGAAGUAGGUCCCAAGGGUAUGGCUGUUCGCCAUUUAAAGUGGUACGCGAGCUGGGUUUAGAACGUCGUGAGACAGUUCGGUCCCUAUCUGCCGUGGGCGCUGGAGAAUUGAGGGGGGCUGCUCCUAGUACGAGAGGACCGGAGUGGACGCAUCACUGGUGUUCGGGUUGUCAUGCCAAUGGCACUGCCCGGUAGCUAAAUGCGGAAGAGAUAAGUGCUGAAAGCAUCUAAGCACGAAACUUGCCCCGAGAUGAGUUCUCCCUGAGACUUUAAGUCUCCUGAAGGAACGUUGAAGACGACGACGUUGAUAGGCCGGGUGUGUAAGCGCAGCGAUGCGUUGAGCUAACCGGUACUAAUGAACCGUGAGGCUUAACCUU